CCACGCUGGCAACUCUGGUCGUGAAAGAUGUUACCUUCACCCCGAACCUGAGAGAUCGUAAUAUAGUGGUGGGAGGGACUCAAACUGCAGAGUUUUUAAACUUUUUCAGUAAACACCAUAACAUCCAGGGGUUAUUGAUGGAAGUUGAAAGCAAUCCACAGAAUCCUUCUCCUGUCACUGAAACAAAUGAAAUCUGCUAAAGGGGUUUGCUGGAAAAAGGAGAUCUCGAGAAACAUUUUUACUGACACCUUGGAAACUGGUGAUAUCAAGAAAGUACCCAUACAUAGGAACCCUGGAAACUGGUGAUCUCAUGACAAAAACUGUUGUUGGAACCCUGGAACUAGGUGAUCUCAUAAAAGAACCUGUUAUUCGAAAUAGUUUCAAAAACCCUGGUUUGUGAAAGCCUGGAAACAUUUUCUAAAAAAGGCAUGCCCUCCAUCACAGUGGAAUCGAGGCUUAUGAGUGUGCUGAAUGUUUGAAAAGCUUCGCACUAUCGGAUAAUCUUCAGAUACAUGUGAAGAUUCACAGUGGAAUCAAGCGCUAUGAAUUUGGGAAAGCAUUUACAGGAUCAGAUACUCUUAACGUACAUAUGCAGAUUCACAGUGGAGUAUAAUGUAAUGAAUGUUUGAAAACUGUACACAUUCAAGUAGUCUGCGGACACACAUGACGAUUCACAGUUGAUUCAAGCCGAAUGAGUGUGUUGAAUUUGUUCAAUCAUUGAGACUGUCAGGUUAUCUUCAGAAACAUAUGAAGAUUCACAUUGUAAUCAACCCUUAUGUGUUGAAUGUGGGCAAAAAUUAACAUUUCAGGUCAUAUGCAGAAACACAUGAAGAUUCACAGUGGAAUCAAACAUCAUCAGUGCACCGUGUGUGAGAAAACAUUUACACAAUCAGGUA